rnacentral:lncRNA from 1 species
GAACUUCGUUAAAAACAGGCCAGUUUUAACAAGCAACCACUCCUGACUAGUUGUCAAAAAAACGUCGUUAUGUGUUAGUCGUUCUUUCGGACGUGGUGCGGUCGUGGCGCAGCGCCGAUAUCACAAACAAUGUGCCUUGAACUUUGAUGGAUCAAUGAGCAUCCAUGUUUAAUACUGAUGUAACAUACGUCGCGCGGACACAUAGCCUAUUCAACUUGGCAGGGCAAGAGCCGUGAAAGCCACGAGCAUACGACAUGCUCUUUAUUCAACGCUUUGCGUCACAAUGAAGCCUACAGUUGAGCCGAUGUCCGUGCCCGAUAACUAUAGGCCAAAAUCGCGUGUAUUUAGCGGAGAACCAUGACCGUGAGGGCCCCUCCAUACCACUUUUGGUGGAGUAGACAGCCCGGUUCACUGUCUUACAAACCUGUGAGUAGUUGAUACCUCUUUAUUCGCGUCGUGCAACCCGUGCCAUUGCCUCUUACCUCCUUUGCCCAAAAAGUUCACUACUUCGCGACGACUCACGAGAGGAAUGUCAAAUUCCAACGAGAGACACAUCACCACCCUCUUACAGAUGACAGAUCUCGCCAUAUUCAACGCGUCGGCUGUCAAAUUUCAUGCAGAUGUCGAUUAUUUGUACGCCGGGUGCCAUGUGCGGGGCCAAAACCCGGUUCGAUGCAGUAUAUGUCAUGCUUCCAACUGGCCCAUCGCCUUGCUCAUGCUCAGCUUGGGCUUGGCCAACUGCCUCGAUGCUCGACUUUAUAAAAUUUGUUAUAGGGACACUGCCCUUGGCAUGAACCAAGUCUAGGAGUGCAAUGCCUGUGUCCUCUGAGCCCGUAAAAAAUUCAGCUUGGAGUGGCUCGAAAUGUCAUUACUGGAAAGGGGCCCGCGGGCACGGGCAUAAGCUAAGAACACGAUUGUGACCGCGUCUCAUCGCCUUAUUCUGCUUUCUCGAGUUAUGGCUAUGAUGGGCUCACGUGCGGUAGCAAGCCGCCCCAGGCCUACGAUCUCCGUGAUACUUCCGUCGCCUAUUCUCGCAACCCUAUACGGGGCAGGGAGUGAACACCCGGGCUGCGGGCUCAUUCUGUCGUUACCACGCCCUUAUUUCCCG